rnacentral:rRNA from 1 species
UACGUAGGGUGCGAGCGUUGUCCGGAAUUAUUGGGCGUAAAGAGCUCGUAGGCGGUUUGUCACGUCUGCUGUGAAAUCCCGAGGCUCAACCUCGGGCCUGCAGUGGGUACGGGCAGACUGGAGUGCGGUAGGGGAGAAUGGAAUUCCUGGUGUAGCGGUGGAAUGCGCAGAUAUCAGGAGGAACACCAGUGGCGAAGGCAGCCCCCUGGGCUGAGAUUGACGCUCAGGCACGAAAGCGUGGGGAGCAAACAGG